rnacentral:pre_miRNA from 1 species
UGAAAGACAUGGGUAGUGAGAUGUUCGCUUUUGCCUUACAUCUCAUUACGGUGUCUUCC